rnacentral:rRNA from 1 species
UACGAAGGGGGCUAGCGUUGUCCGGAAUUAUUGGGCGUAAAGAGCGUGUAGGCGGCCAGAAAAGUCCGCUGUGAAAACUCGAGGCUCAACUUCGAGCUGUCGGUGGAAACUUUCUGGCUAGAGUCCGGAAGAGGAGAAUGGAAUUCCUGGUGUAGCGGUGAAAUGCGCAGAUAUCAGGAAGAACACCCGUGGCGAAGGCGGUUCUCUGGGACGGUACUGACGCUGAGACGCGAAAGCGUGGGGAGCGAACAGG